AGUGCGAUCGGUGGAUGCCUAGGCACCAAGAGCCGAUGAAGGACGUUGUGACCUGCGAUAAGCCCCGGGGAGCUGGUGGACGAGCUUUGAUCCGGGGAUUUCCGAAUGGGGGAACCUCGAAGGUGACCGGUCGUGAGGCCGGCGACUGCUCCCUGAAUGUAUAGGGGGGUGUGAGGGAACGUGGGGAAGUGAAACAUCUCAGUACCCACAGGAGAAGAAGACAACAGUGAUUCCGUGAGUAGUGGCGAGCGAAAGCGGAGGAGGCCAAACCGUGCGUGUGUGGACAGCUGGCAGGCGUUGCACGUGCGGGGUUGUGGGAGUGUUCUUGCCCGAGCUGUCAGGAGGGCGGGGAGUGACAAAGCGGUGUUGAAGUGGAAGCGGCUGGGAAGCCGUACCGGAGUGGGUGACAGUCCCGUACACGUAUGACAUCGUCUUCCUUGGGCACGUCCCAAGUAGCGCGGGACCCCUGAAAUUCCGCGUGAAUCCGGCGGGACCACCCGUCAAGCCUAAAUACUCCUUGGUGACCGAUAGCGGACCAGUACCGUGAGGGAACGGUGAAAAGUACCCCGGGAGGGGAGUGAAAUAGUACCUGAAACCGGUCGCAUACAAUCCGUCGGAGCUUAAAAUUUUUUUGGGUGACGGCGUGCCUUUUGAAGAAUGAGCCUGCGAGUUAGUGGUGCGUGGCGAGGUUAACCUGUGUGGGGUAGCCGUAGUGAAAGCGAGUCCUAAUAGGGCGUUGUAGUCGCGUGCUCUAGACCCGAAGCGGGGUGAUCUAUCCAUGGCCAGGGUGAAGCGAAGGUAAGACUUCGUGGAGGCCCGAACUCACUUGGGUUGAAAACCGAGGAGAUGAGCUGUGGAUAGGGGUGAAAGGCCAAUCAAACCCCGUGAUAGCUGGUUCUCCCCGAAAUGCAUUUGGGUGCAGCGUCCCGUGCUCCCCGGCGGAGGUAGAGCUACCGGUUGGCUGAUGGGCCCCACAGGGUUACUGGCGUCAGCCGAACUCCGAAUGCCGUCGGGCGGUGAGCGGGGCAGUGAGACCGCGGGGGAUAAGCUUCGCGGUCGAGAGGGGAACAGCCCGGAUCGCCGGCUAAGGCCCCCAAGCGCGCGCUAAGUGGGAAAGGAUGUGCGGUCGCGGUGACAACCAGGAGGUUGGCUUAGAAGCAGCCAUCCUUGAAAGAGUGCGUAAUAGCUCACUGGUCGAGUGGUUCUGCGCCGAUAAUGUAGCGGGGCUUAAGUACACCGCCGAAACCGCGGCAACACACUUGGUGUGUUGGGUAGGGGAGCGUCGUGCAUGUGUUGAAGCUAUUUGGUGACAGGUGGUGGAGUGUGUGCGAGUGAGAAUGCAGGCAUGAGUAACGAUUGAUGUGUGAGAAACAUAUCCGCCGGAUGACUAAGGGUUCCUGGGUGAAGUUUGUCUUCCCAGGGUGAGUCGGGGCCUAAGGCGAGGCCGACAGGCGUAGUCGAUGGAUGACGGGUUGAUAUUCCCGUACCGGCGAAGCACCGCCCAUGCUGACGUGCGGGUGCUAACCCACGCCCAGCCACCAUGUUAGCCGCGCCUGUCAGGUUCGCCUGACGGUGUGGUUGUGGUGGUGGGGUCUGGGGAUCCUCCGUGCAGGUAGGCAAGCGUGUUAACAGGGGUGACGCACAGUGGUAGCCCGGCGGACCUGAUGGCUUGGUCCGUUCAAGCGCGCAGCCCGUUCCCCAGGUAAAUCCGGGGGACUGUCUUUGAUGACGGGGGUGAGGCGUGAUGGUGACCUCACACUGGUGGGGGAUAACAGGGUGAUCCUGGGGUGCCGAGAAAAGCCUCGACGCGAUGGUGCCAGCCGCCCGUACCCUAAACCGACACAGGUGGUCGGGCAGAGUAUGCCUAGGCGCACGAGUGAAUCAUGGUUAAGGAACUCGGCAAAAUGCCCCCGUAACUUCGGGAGAAGGGGGGCCUGAGCUUUGAAGCCCCUUCGCGGGCUAGGAGCAAGGGUCGCAGAGAACAGGGGGGAGCGACUGUUUACUAAAAACACAGGUCCGUGCGAAGCCGUAAGGCGAUGUAUACGGACUGACGCCUGCCCGGUGCUGGAAGGUUAAGAGGAACCAUCAACCCCCUCGGGGGUGAAGUGGUGAAUUUAAGCCCCAGUAAACGGCGGUGGUAACUAUAACCAUCCUAAGGUAGCGAAAUUCCUUGUCGGGUAAGUUCCGACCUGCACGAAUGGAGUAACGACUUGGGUACUGUCUCCACCACGAGCUCGGUGAAAUUGCAUUACGAGUAAAGAUGCUCGUUACGCGCAGCAGGACGGAAAGACCCCGGGACCUUCACUACAGUUUGGUAUUGGUGAUCGGUGCGGCUUGUGUAGGAUAGGUGGGAGACUGUGAAGCGGCCACGCCAGUGGCCGUGGAGUCGUCGUUGAAAUACCACUCUGGUCGUUCUGGUUGUCUAACCUCGGACCGUGACCCGGUUCAGGGACAGUGCCUGACGGGUAGUUUGACUGGGGCGGUCGCCUCCCAAAGAGUAACGGAGGCGCCCAAAGGUCCCCUCAGCCUGGUCGGCAACCAGGUGUCGAGUGCAAGUGCACAAGGGGGCUUGACUGUGAGACGGACACGUCGAGCAGGGACGAGAGUCGGGACUAGUGAUCUUCUGGUGGCGUGUGGAAGCGCCAGAACUCAACGGAUAAAAGGUACCCCGGGGAUAACAGGCUGAUCUUGCCCGAGCGCUCACAGCGACGGCAUGGUUUGGCACCUCGAUGUCGGCUCGUCGCAUCCUGGGGCUGGAG
rnacentral:rRNA from 1 species